ACUCCUGGAGAAAUGGUGGGCGGUCCAAACGGUGAGCAGCACGCUCCUUACUUAGGUCAUGACCUCUGCCGACUAAAAAGGCUAAACUCAGCGUGGAUUAGGGCUAUACCAGGUACUGGACUCUUCUAGAGUACUGUCACAUCGGUUUGGUCUCUCCUCGUGGUAAACAGAUAACUGGAACAACUGACUUUCCUCUAGAGGAUUUGAACUGGAGGAGGCUUGAAGUUGAACAAUGGAACUCUCAGUACCAACUUCCCUUUACAGUCUGAUCUCAGAAAUCUGACAGCCAGUUGUAUUCCCCCAGACCCUCUACCUUCACCUGUACUGAGGUUGUCCCACAUGGCAGUUUCAGGCGCAAUUCUUCUGGAGAUGACAAAGGGCAGGAAGGUGCUUCAGAUUCAUGUUUCCAUGUGAUGUUUUUCUUCCAUCUGAAAAACUACUAGAAUUCAGCAAGCAUCUUCAGUCAUGGAAGGACAUUUUGCAAUAUUUGUUGCUGUCAUCAUCAUAAAGAUUACAAAUGAUCUAUUUCCCUGCCACUCAGUGUGUAUCUUCUAGGAUCAAACAUCAAACCAAAGAUGGCAGAAAUGCAUUCAGAGCCUCAUUUUAUGACUUUACUUUGCUUAUUGCAUUUCUUUUCUUGGAAAUGUAAUUGCUUUAGAAUUACUGGGAUCAUGGGAAAAGCAUGCCAUCAAGAAAGUAAGCG
rnacentral:lncRNA from 1 species